UAUCAGUGGAUCAGGGCAAACGAGUGAGACGCUCUGCAAGUGCUGUUGGGACUUUCGAGUUUAUUGGCUGCAGAAAGACGCACAGAGCUUCGAGGCAUUACAAGCAAUGUGGUUAGUCAGACUCCUGAAGAACAUCAGUGGACCAGUGCUUCGAGUUUGUUUGCUUCAUGAAGGGAGGAGGACCAAAGUGCCGAUCAUGAACCAUGAAGAAGUCGGUUCUCAGCUACGUCAAGUUCUGAAAAAGGAAGAGUUGUUGGCCCUUGCUACCAGAAUAAGGGACAACUACCCCUAUUGCCUACAA